AACAUGUCUUCUUGACNCAAAUNAGAAGUCUGGCCUGCCCAGUGAUAAAAUGAUUUAACGGCCGCGGUAUUUUGACCGUGCAAAGGUAGCAUAAUCAUUAGUCUUUUAAUAGGGGACUGGAAUGAAGGGUUCAACGAGAUACUAGCUGUCUCAAUUUAAUAUAUUAAAAAUUGAUUUUUGAGUCAAAAAGCUUAAAUAAGAUUGAAGGACGAGAAGACCCUAUAGAGCUUUAUAAUUAAUAUUUAUAGUUAUUUUAUUUUAUUUUUAUUCUAUUAUUAUUAAUUUUUUUGUUGGGGUGACAACAGAUAUAUAAAUAACUUUUUUAUUUAUGAAACAUUAAUUUAUGGUUAAUAGAUCCAUUAUUAUUGAUUAUUAGAAUGAGUUACCUUAGGGAUAACAGGCGUAAUCUUCCUUCAGAGUUCAUAUUUACAGGGAGGGUUGCGACCUCGAUGUUGGAUUAAGAUUAUAAUUAGGUGUAGCAGCUUAAUUUAUAGGUCUGUUCGACCUUUAAAUUCUUACAUG
rnacentral:rRNA from 1 species